rnacentral:rRNA from 1 species
CGGCAAACGAGUGAGUAACACGUAAGCAAUCUACCCCGAAUGGCGGACAACCAGCCGAAAGGUUGGCUAAUACGCCAUACUAUCCCAUGGAGGCAUCUCCGAGGGAUGAAAGUCGUAAGACGAUCGGGGAGGAGCUUGCGGCCCAUCAGCUAGUUGGCGGUGUAACGGACCACCAAGGCUAUGACGGGUACCCGGCCUGAAAGGGCGGACGGGCACGAAGGCACUGAGAAACGGGCCUU